GCCGCGGUAGCUCAGGUGGUAGAGCGCAGCCCUGAAAAGGCUGGCGUCGGCGGUUCAACUCCGUCCCGCGGCACCA
rnacentral:tRNA from 5 species